rnacentral:rRNA from 1 species
UACGGGGGGGAGCAAGCGUUGUUCGGAUUUACUGGGCGUAAAGGGCGCGUAGGCGGCCAGCACAAGUCAGUUUGUGAAAUCUCCGGGCUUAACCUGGGAACUGCAGUCGAGACUGUCUAGCUAGAGUAUGGGAGAGGGAAGUGGAAUUUCAGGUGUAGCGGUGAAAUGCGUAGAUAUCUGAAGGAACAUCAGUGGCGAAAGCGACUUCCUGGACCAAUACUGACGCUCAUGUGCGAAAGCGUGGGGAGCAAACAGG